rnacentral:rRNA from 1 species
GACCUCGGAUCAAGUAGGAAUACCCGCUGAACUUAAGCAUAUCAAUAAGCGGAGGAAAAGAAACCAACAGGGAUUACCCUAGUAACGGCGAGUGAAGCGGUAACAGCUCAAAUUUGAAAUCUGGCCUUCACGGGUCCGAGUUGUAAUUUGUAGAGGAUGUUUCGGACAAGGCUGUGGUUUAAGUUUCUUGGAACAGAACGUCAUAGAGGGUGAGAGUCCCGUCUAGAACCGAAAGCCGCGUCCAUGUGAAACUCCUUCGACGAGUCGAGUUGUUUGGGAAUGCAGCUCAAAAUGGGUGGUAAAUUUCAUCUAAAGCUAAAUAUUGGCCAGAGACCGAUAGCGCACAAGUAGAGUGAUCGAAAGAUGAAAAGCACUUUGAAAAGAGAGUUAAACAGUAUGUGAAAUUGUUGAAAGGGAAGCGCUUGCAACCAG